AUUGAACGCUGGCGGCAGGCCUAACACAUGCAAGUCGAGCGGAUGAAGGGAGCUUGCUCCUGGAUUCAGCGGCGGACGGGUGAGUAAUGCCUAGGAAUCUGCCUGGUAGUGGGGGAUAACGUCCGGAGACGGGCGCUAAUACCGCAUACGUCCUGAGGGAGAAAGUGGGGGAUCUUCGGACCUCACGCUAUCAGAUGAGCCUAGGUCGGAUUAGCUAGUUGGUGGGGUAAAGGCCUACCAAGGCGACGAUCCGUAACUGGUCUGAGAGGAUGAUCAGUCACACUGGAAGUGAGACACGGUCCAGACUCCUACGGGAGGCAGCAGUGGGGAAUAUUGGACAAUGGGCGAAAGCAUGAUCCAGCCAUGCCGCGUGUGUGAAGAAGGUCUUCGGAUUGUAAAGCACUUUAAGUUGGGAGGAAGGGCAGUAAGUUAAUACCUUGCUGUUUUGACGUUACCAACAGAAUAAGCACCGGCUAACUUCGUG
rnacentral:rRNA from 1 species